rnacentral:rRNA from 1 species
GUGUCAGCAGCCGCGGUAAUACGGAGGGGGCUAGCGUUGUUCGGAAUUACUGGGCGUAAAGCGCACGUAGGCGGCUUUGUAAGUUAGAGGUGAAAGCCCAGGGCUCAACCCUGGAAUUGCCUUUAAGACUGCAUCGCUUGAACAUCGGAGAGGUAAGUGGAAUUCCGAGUGUAGAGGUGAAAUUCGUAGAUAUUCGGAAGAACACCAGUGGCGAAGGCGACUUACUGGACGAUUGUUGACGCUGAGGUGCGAAAGCGUGGGGAGCAAACAGGAUUAGAAACCCCCGUAGUCC